rnacentral:rRNA from 1 species
UGGGGAAUUUUGCACAAUGGGGGAAACCCUGAUGCAGCGACGCCGCGUGAUUUAGAAGGCCUUCGGGUUGUAAAAAUCUUUUCUAUGGGAAGAAAAUGACAGUACCAUAGGAAUAAGGACCGGCUAAUUACGUGCCAGCAGCCGCGGUAAUACGUAAGGUCCGAGCGUUGUCCGGAAUCAUUGGGCGUAAAGGGUACGUAGGCGGGUAAGCAAGUUAGAAGUGAAAUCCUAUAGCUCAACUAUAGUAAGCUUUUAAAACUGCUCAUCUUGAGGUAUGGAAGGGAAGGUGAAUUCCUAGUGUAGCGGUGAAAUGCGCAGAUAUUAGGAGGAAUACCGGUGGCGAAGGCGACUUUCUGGCCAUAACCUGACGCUGAGGUACGAAAGCGUGGGUAGCAAACAGG